AUUGAACGCUGGCGGCAGGCCUAACACAUGCAAGUCGAACGAGUGGCGGACGGGUGAGUAAUGUCUGGGAAACUGCCCGAUGGAGGGGGAUAACUACUGGAAACGGUAGCUAAUACCGCAUCCCAUCGGAUGUGCCCAGAUGGGAUUAGCUAGUAGGUGGGGUAACGGCUCACCUAGGCGACGAGUUCUAGCUGGUCUGAGAGGAUGACCGGCCACUCUGGACAGAGGACAAGGUCCCGACUCCUACGGGAGGCAGCGGUGAGGAAUAUUGCACAAUAGGCGCAAGCCUGAUACAGCCAUGCCGCGUAUAUGAAUACGGCCUUCGGGUUGUAAAGUACUUUCAGCGAGGAGGCGUUACUCGCAGAAGAAGCACCGGCUAACUCCGUGCCAGCAGCCGCGGUAAUUC
rnacentral:rRNA from 1 species